rnacentral:tRNA from 1 species
GAGAUAAUAGUAUAAUUAAGUAUGUUUCUUUUUCGCAGAAUCGGUUCUUUAUCUUA